CGAGGACGACGCUGGCGGCGUGGAUUAGGCAUGCAAGUCGAACGGUAUCAUCCUUCGGGGGUGGAGAGAGUGGCGAACUGGUGAGUAACACGUAGGUUAUCUACCCUCAAGACGGGACAACCCAGGGAAACUUGGGCUAAUACCGGAUGAGAGUGCGAGAGAUUGCAUUUAAAAGGAUGGCGAAAGUUGUCGCUUAGGGAUGAGCCUGCGGUCUAUUAGUUAGUUGGUGAGGUAAGAGCUCACCAAGGCGAUGAUAGAUAGGCGGCCUUAACGGGUGGUCGCCCACACUGGGAUUGAGAUACGGCCCAGACUCCUACGGGAGGCAGCAGUCGAGAAUAGUCUACAAUGGCCGGAAGGCUGAUAGUGCGACGCCGCGUGAACGAGGGAGCCCUUCGGGGUGUAAAGUUCUUUUCUAUACGAGCAGUGCUAUAUAUAUGGAUAGUAUAUAUAGAGGGAUAGUAGUAUAGGAAUAAGCAACGGCUAACUCCGUG
rnacentral:rRNA from 1 species